AAGACACGAAGCCAGAAAAUGAUUUAGGGGGGAAGAGUUUUUGCUUGGGAAGUAAAAUGCAUUUUUCAUACCGUGUGUUUCAAACAGGAAAGCAGGCGCUUAAAUAAUAUGAUUAAUUGAUUGAUCGGAGGAAGAGAACCCACUCAAUUGCAGAACCUGAAGGAACCCUACAACCGAGGAGGUGAAUGCCUAAACUAGGCAGGGCAGAUGGAUGUCGUGCUUCCCUUACAGACCUCUGAGGAAAUGUUUGCCCAAAUUAUAGCCAACCUUGCUCGUCAUAAAAAGCCACUGGCGAAGAAAAGUUAUUUCCCUCUGACAGAAGAAGAGUUAUUUCCUUCUGAGAGGCUGCGGACUCCUGCUCUCUGAGGACAAAGGGGUGAGGAGGGGGCUGCCGCCCUGCGAACUUCAGCCGUGAUGCUCGGAGGCUCCCCGAGCGCGACCCCCACGGUGCACGUCUCAGAAGGAGGCCGGGGCUUUGCAGCUGUCCAGGCGCGGCAGGAGGACGACGACGAGGAGCGGAGCGGGCCUCGGGCUUGUCCGAGGAGCCCCGCAGGACCCCGGAGAG